rnacentral:rRNA from 1 species
GACGAACCGUGCGAACGUUGUUCGGAAUCACUGGGCUUAAAGGGCGCGUAGGCGGGCUGUCAAGUCUGGGGUGAAAUGCUGCGGCUCAACCGUAGAACUGCCUUAGAUACUGACGGCCUCGAGGAAGGUAGGGGCAUGCGGAACUGUAGGUGGAGCGGUGAAAUGCGCAGAUAUCAGGAGGAACACCAACGGCGAAGGCAGCUCGCUAGGACGGUACUGACGCUGAGACGCGAAAGCGUGGGGAGCAAACAGG